rnacentral:rRNA from 1 species
AGAGUUUGAUCCUGGCUCAGAAUCAACGCUGGCGGCGUGCCUAACACAUGCAAGUCGAACGAGAAAGUCCCGCAAGGGAUGAGUAAAGUGGCGAACGGGUGAGUAACACGUAGCUAACCUACCCUCGAGUGGGGGAUAACCUGGGGAAACUCGGGCUAAUACCGCAUAACGUCCCGGUUGCGCAAGCGAUCGGGGUCAAA